UACGUAGGGGGCUAGCGUUAUCCGGAAUUACUGGGCGUAAAGGGUGCGUAGGUGGUUUCUUAAGUCAGAGGUGAAAGGCUACGGCUCAACCGUAGUAAGCCUUUGAAACUGGGAAACUUGAGUGCAGGAGAGGAGAGUGGAAUUCCUAGUGUAGCGGUGAAAUGCGUAGAUAUUGGGAGGAACACCAGUUGCGAAGGCGGCUCUCUGGACUGUAACUGACACUGAGGCACGAAAGCGUGGGGAGCAAACAGG
rnacentral:rRNA from 1 species